UACAGAGGGUGCGAGCGUUGUCCGGAAUCACUGGGCGUAAAGGGCGCGUAGGCGGCUCAGUAAGGUUGCGGUGAAAGCCCGGGGCUCAACCCCGGGUCGGCCGUGGCAACUGCUGGGCUAGAGCACUGUAGAGGCAAGCGGAAUUCCGGGUGUAGCGGUGGAAUGCGUAGAUAUCCGGAAGAACACCUGAGGCGAAGGCGGCUUGCUGGGCAUGAUCUGACGCUGAGGCGCGAAAGCGUGGGGAGCAAACAGG
rnacentral:rRNA from 1 species